GAUGAACGCUAGCUAUAGGCUUAACACAUGCAAGUCGAGGGGAAACGGCAUUAUGUGCUUGCACAUUUUGGACGUCGACCGGCGCACGGGUGAGUAUCGCGUAUCCAACCUGCCCUUUACUUGGGGAUACCCCGUUGAAAGACGGCCUAAUACCCGAUGUAAUUCAUUGAUGGCAUCAGAUAUGAAUAAAAGAUUUAUCGAUAAAGGAUGGGGAUGCGUCUGAUUAGCUUGUUGGUGAGGUAACGGCUCACCAAGGCGACGAUCAGUAGGGGUUCUGAGAGGAAGGUCCCCCACAUUGGAACUGAGACACGGUCCAAACUCCUACGGGAGGCAGCAGUGAGGAAUAUUGGUCAAUGGGCGCAAGCCUGAACCAGCCAAGUAGCGUGCAGGAAGACGGCCCUAUGGGUGGUAAACUGCUUUUAUACGAGAAUAAUUUGAUGCACGUGUGCGUUAUUGCAUGUAUCGUAUGAAUAAGGACCGGCUAAUUCCGUG
rnacentral:rRNA from 1 species